GAUGAACGCUGGCGGCGUGCCUAAUACAUGCAAGUCGAGCGAACAGAUGAGGAGCUUGCUCCUCUGACGUUAGCGGCGGACGGGUGAGUAACACGUGGAUAACCUACCUAUAAGACUGGGAUAACUUCGGGAAACCGGAGCUAAUACCGGAUAAUAUAUUGAACCGCAUGGUUCAAUAGUGAAAGACGGUUUUGCUGUCACGUAUAGAUGGAUCCGCGCCGCAUUAGCUAGUUGGUAAGGUAACGGCUUACCAAGGCAACGAUGCGUAGCCGACCUGAGAGGGUGAUCGGCCACACUGGAACUGAGACACGGUCCAGACUCCUACGGGAGGCAGCAGUAGGGAAUCUUCCGCAAUGGGCGAAAGCUUGACGGAGCAACGCCGCGUGAGUGAUGAAGGUCUUCGGAUCGUAAAACUCUGUUAUUAGGGAAGAACAAAUGUGUAAGUAACUAUGCACGUCUUGACGGUACCUAAUCAGAAAGCCACGGCUAACUACGUG
rnacentral:rRNA from 1 species